rnacentral:pre_miRNA from 1 species
GUUCGACAAGGGUAUUCUUGGGUGAGUAACACGGAACAUACGAACUGUUAUUGCUUGAGAAUACACGUGUCGGAG